rnacentral:rRNA from 1 species
UACGGGGGGAGCAAGCGUUGUUCGGAUUUACUGGGCGUAAAGGGCGCGUAGGCGGUCAGCACAAGUCAGUUGUGAAAUCUCCGAGCUUAACUCGGAAAGGUCAACUGAUACUGUGCGACUAGAGUGCGGAAGGGGCAACUGGAAUUCUCGGUGUAGCGGUGAAAUGCGUAGAUAUCGAGAGGAACACCUGCGGCGAAGGCGGGUUGCUGGGCUGACACUGACGCUGAUGCGCGAAAGCUAGGGGAGCGAACGGG